rnacentral:rRNA from 1 species
UGGGGGAUAUUGCGCAAUGGGGGCAACCCUGACGCAGCAACGCCGCGUGAAGGAUGAAGGUUUUCGGAUUGUAAACUUCUUUUAUUAAGGACGAAAAAUGACGGUACUUAAUGAAUAAGCUCCGGCUAACUACGUGCCAGCAGCCGCGGUAAUACGUAGGGAGCAAGCGUUGUCCGGAUUUACUGGGUGUAAAGGGUGCGUAGGCGGCUUUGCAAGUCAGAUGUGAAAUCUAUGGGCUCAACCCAUAAACUGCAUUUGAAACUGUAGAGCUUGAGUGAAGUAGAGGCAGGCGGAAUUCCCCGUGUAGCGGUGAAAUGCGUAGAGAUGGGGAGGAACACCAGUGGCGAAGGCGGCCUGCUGGGCUUUAACUGACGCUGAGGCACGAAAGCGUGGGUAGCAAACAGGAUUAGAUACCCUGGUAGUCCACGCUGUAAACGAUGAUUACUAGGUGUGGGGGGUCUGACCCCUUCCGUGCCGGAGUUAACACAAUAAGUAAUCCACCUGGGGAGUACGGCCGCAAGGUUGAAACUCAAAGGAAUUGACGGGGGCCCGCACAAGCAGUGGAGUAUGUGGUUUAAUUCGAAGCAACGCGAAGAACCUUACCAGGUCUUGACAUCCAACUAACGAAGUAGAGAUACAUUAGGUGCCCUUCGGGGAAAGUUGAGACAGGUGGUGCAUGGUUGUCGUCAGCUCGUGUCGUGAGAUGUUGGGUUAAGUCCCGCAACGAGCGCAACCCUUAUGGUCAGUUACUACGCAAGAGGACUCUGGCCAGACUGCCGUUGACAAAACGGAGGAAGGUGGGGAUGACGUCAAAUCAUCAUGCCCUUUAUGACUUGGGCUACACACGUAAUACAAUGGCGUUAAACAAAGAGAAGCAAGACCGCGAGGUGGAGCAAAACUCAGAAACAACGUCCCAGUUCGGACUGCAGGCUGCAACUCGCCUGCACGAAGUCGGAAUUGCUAGUAAUCGUGGAUCAGCAUGCCACGGUGAAUACGUUCCC